AAACCAAUCAGUGGCCAGAUUUGAAACUGGCACCUGUGGGUGGCCACUGAGGAUUUGGAUACACCUCUGAGAACACACAGGGGUUAAAAGGAGAGCACUCUGAGAGAAACUUCCUCUUUGGAAUCCGGCAUCGGCUUUUCUCUUCCUUCAGCAGCAGAAAGCAUUCGUGUUUGAAGACGUCAUGGGAGGGGCACACAAAGCACUGACACACGAGAAAUAUUUAUGGAGGUCAUCAAUUGUUCAGAUAUUCCAAAUAUUGCUGUCUCUGACUUCAACAUGUCUUAAUUCAACAUCAACUUAUCCUCUCUCGUCACAUCUGAACACAGAGGAUCUUUUUUGUAAAUUUUGGAAUGGCUCCAUUUGGAUAACCACAAAUCUUUUGUCUGCUUUUAGAUUCAAUAUGAAACAUCUACCUGUCAGUAAUGUCAGGGGUCAGGUAUCUCUAGAGGGUGAUGCAGAUAUUCAAUAAGGUUAUUACACUGCAGUAAAAGGAAAAGAAUGUAUUGCCCCUUGUGGAUGGGUUAGCAGGUGACAGGAGCAUCAAGAGCAAAAGGUACUCAAACCAGACAGAAUUACCAGCUCAGAAUUACUGAUUAAGUCUCUCUGCUAACCACCGUCAUUCUGAACUUAUGGAAAACAACAUUUCUUCUUCUGUAUCUCUGAAUUCAUAAUAUAUGUUAUAUAAUUUGCUACAGAAAAUCACUUCUGCAGCAGAAAGCCCAGCUGUGUCCUUAUAGGAAAUUGUUUCAUAGGGGAACAGUGCUCUCCAGUGAUCAAAGAAGGGAACUGUUUUAGUCAUAAAACAGUUGCCUCUGUUCUCAUGCAGACAGUCCUGUCAGUGUGGAAAUGCUAAGAUGUAGUUUCAAAUAAUGUCACUACAUCACAGCCUCCAGCCAGGUAAUUCUUCAGAAACAGUACAACACUGUUCCAUGC